rnacentral:rRNA from 1 species
AUUGAACGCUGGCGGCAGGCCUAACACAUGCAAGUCGAACGAGUGGCGGACGGGUGAGUAAUGUCUGGGAAACUGCCCGAUGGAGGGGGAUAACUACUGGAAACGGUAGCUAAUACCGCAUCCCAUCAGAUGUGCCCAGAUGGGAUGAGCUAGUUGGUGGGGUAAAGGCUCACCAAGGCGACGAUCCCUAGCUGGGCUGAGAGGAUGACCAGCCACACUGCAACUGAGACACGGUCCAGACUCCUACGUGAGGCAGCAGUGGGUAAUAUUGCACAAUGGGCGCAAGCCUGAUGCAGCCAUGCCGCGUGUAUGAAGAAGGCCUUCGGGUUGUAAAGUACUUUCAGCGGGGAGGCGUUACCCGCAGAAGAAGCACCGGCUAACUCCGUGCCAGCAGCCGCGGUAAUAC